rnacentral:sRNA from 1 species
GUGUCGGGGCAGCGCUAUUCCAAAACUGUUUAAAAAACGUCCAAUCCCGACUGGACCUUUCUCCGAGCUGACCAAUACUCAAGUGACUGGCCGCGUCGACCCCCGCGGCGCGGGCCAGGAGGCGGCUCUCCGUCCAGGCGAACCGCUGGUCCGGCCCGGGUAUCCCUGGAUACCCG